UCACAUAACAACCACAUCCCUCCUCUAAAGAAGCCCCUGGGAACACAGCUCAUCACCAUGGACUGGACCUGGAGGCUCCUCUUUGUGGUGGCAGCAGCUACAGGUGCCCAGUCCCAGGUCCAGCUGGUGCAGUCCGGGGCUGAGGUGAAGAAGCCUGGGGCCUCAGUGAAGCUCUCCUGCAAGGCUUCUGGAUUCACCUUCGGCAGCUAUGCUAUCAGCUGGGUGCGACAGGCCCCUGGACAAGGGCUUGAGUGGAUGGGAGAGAUCAUCCCUGCAUUUGGCAUAGCAGACUACGCACAGAAGUUCCAGGGCAGAGUCACAAUUACCGCCGACACGUCCACUAACACAGCCUACAUGGAGCUGAGCAGCCUGAGAUCUGAGGACACGGCCGUGUAUUACUGUGCCCAUUCCCAGGUCCAGCUGGUGCAGUCAGGGGCUGAGGUGGAGAAGCCUGGGGCCUCAAUGAAGGUCUCCUGUAAGGCUUCCGGAUACACCUUCACCAACUACUUUAUGCAGUGGGUGCGACAGGCCCCUGGACAAGAACUUGAGUGA